rnacentral:rRNA from 1 species
AACGCGAAGAACCUUACCAAGGCUUGACAUACACAGGAAUACGGCAGAGAUGUCGUAGCCGCAAGGUCUGUAUACAGGUGGUGCAUGGUUGUCGUCAGCUCGUGUCGUGAGAUGUUGGGUUAAGUCCCGCAACGAGCGCAACCCUCGUCCUGUGUUACCAGCAUUUAGUUGGGGACUCACAGGAGACUGCCGGGGUCAACUCGGAGGAAGGUGGGGAUGACGUCAAAUCAUCAUGCCCCUUAUGUCUUGGGCUGCACGCAUGCUACAAUGGCUGGUACAAAGAGCUGCAAUACCGCAAGGUGGAGCGAAUCUCAAAAAGCCAGUCUCAGUUCGGAUUGGGGUCUGCAACUCGACCCCAUGAAGUCGGAGUUGCUAGUAAUCGUAGAUCAGCAACGCUACGGUGAAUACGUUCCCGGGUCUUGUACACACCG